CAGGACCUUUCUACACUAUGUCAGGACCCUUCUACACUAUGUCAGGACCCUUUUACACUAUGUCAGGACCCUUCUACACUUUAGGAAAUCUUCUACACUAGAAGAGAAAGAGAGAGAGGAAACAGAGAGGAGGAAAGAGAGAGAGAACGAGAGGAGGAGAGAGAGAGAGAGCGAGAGAGAGAGAGAGAGAAAGAGAGAAAGAAACAGAGAGAGGAGGAGAGAGAGAGAACGAGAGGAGGAGAGAGAGAGAGAGCGAGAGAGAGAGAAAGAGAGAAAGAAACUGAGAGAGGAGGAGAGAGAGAGAGAGAGAGAGAGAGAGAGAGAGAGAGGUGAGGCAAUGAAGGAUAGAGUAGUCAGAGGAAGAGAGUGCCAGAACUCAGUGAGUGCAGCUAAAUCUCUCAGAGCUCAGUCAAUAAAACAGAGGGCUCUUAGAAAACAAACCCUUCUACACUGUCAUAACCCUUUUCCACUAUGUCAAGACCCUUCUCCACUAUGUCAGGACACUUCUACACUAUGUCAGGACCCUUCUGCACUAUGUCAGGACCCUUCUACACUAUGUCAGAACCCUUCUACACUAUGUCAGGACCCUUCUACACUAUGUCAGGCUGGUUUGGCACAGUGAUGUCGAAAGCAUCUACUGUAAGUUAUUCAUCCUGACAGUGAGUUUAGCUCAGAGCUCAGCAGAGGUUAUGUCCCCUGUGUCACUAUGGUAUGGUCUUAAGGUUUUUUCCUGUGGGUUCAUUUCCUGUUCCUGUUGCCGUCCGAUAUGACCAUUCAGAGCCAUACAGCUGCACCGAUACGUACUAUAGCUUUGUGUGGCAUUUUCCUAUUCCAAGUCAAAUAAUUAGCCUGAAGAGAAACAAUGUGUUAUUUAUAAACAAAAUGGCUGGAUUGGGAUUGAAAAAGUACGGAGAUAUCUAGGUGAAAAACACAAACUGGACCUCACUGUCUACUGGAACUAGAAUACUGUUUUCUUCUCUGGUUUUCAGGUGGUGAAAGAUGAGCAGUCCUUUGCUGUAUGACGCUUCCUGAAACACCCCGCGGUAUACCAUCCUCCGACCGCUGGAGACCUCCUCAGCUAACAAGCAUCGGAUAGAAAACACCAUCACUGUCUUUUACCUCUGAGAGGAGAAACGGAUGAAAUUCACAAUGGAAAAGAUGAGAAAACAUGACUCACUGGAGGACAGGGCUCUGACAUGCCUUUCCAUUAGGGACAACAUCACUGACAGGAUAUAGAAUACUCUACCUGGACAACAUCACUGACAGGAUAUAGAAUACUCUACCUGGACAACAUCACUGACAGGAUAUAGAAUACAACAUCCCUGACAGGAUAUAGAAUACUCUACCUGGACAACAUCACUGACAGGAUAUAGAAUACAACAUCCCUGACAGGAUAUAGAAUACUCUACCUGGACAACAUCACUGACAGGAUAUAGAAUACUCUACCUGGACAACAUCCCUGACAGGAUAUAGAAUACUCUACCUGGAUAACAUCACUGACAGGAUAUAGAAUACUCUACCUGGAUAACAUCACUGACAGGAUAUAGAAUACUCUACCUGGACAACAUCACUGACAGGAUAUAGAAUACUCUACCUGGAUAACAUCACUGACAGGAUAUAGAAUACUCUAC
rnacentral:lncRNA from 1 species